UACAGAGGUCUCAAGCGUUGCUCGGAUUCAUUGGGCGUAAAGGGUGCGUAGGUGGCGCUGUAAGUCGGGUGUGAAAUUUCGGAGCUUAACUCCGAAACUGCAUUCCAUACUGCGGUGCUUGAGGACUGGAGAGGAGACUGGAAUUCAUGGUGUAGCAGUGAAAUGCGUAGAGAUCAUGAGGAAGACCAGUGGCGAAGGCGGGUCUCUGGACAGUUCCUGACACUGAGACACGAAGGCCAGGGGAGCAAACGGG
rnacentral:rRNA from 1 species